rnacentral:rRNA from 1 species
AUUGAACGCCGGCGGCAGGCCUGGCACAUGCAAGUCGAACGGUAGCACAGAGAGCUUGCUCUCGGGUGACGAGUGGCGGACGGGUGAGUAACGUCUGGGAAACUGCCCGAUGGAGGGGGAUAACUACUGGAAACGGUAGCUAAUACCGCAUAACGUCGCAAGACCAAAGUGGGGGACAUUCGGGCCUCACACCAUCGGAUGUGCCCAGAUGGGAUUAGCUAGUAGGUGGGGUAAUGGCUCACCUAGGCGACGAUCCCUAGCUGGUCUGAGAGGAUGACCAGCCACACUGGAACUGAGACAAGGGCCAGACUCCUACGGGAGGCAGCAGUGGGGAAUAUUGCACAAUGGGCGCAAGCCUGAUGCAGCCAUGCUGCGUGUAUGAAGAAGGCCUUCGGGUUGUAAAGUACUUUCAGCGGGGAGGAAGGCGGUGGAGUUAAUAACUUCACCGAUUGACGUUACCCGCAGAAGAAGCACCGGCUAACUCCGUGCCAGCAGCCGCAGUAACAC